rnacentral:rRNA from 1 species
GUGCCAGCCGCCGCGGUAAUACGGAGGGUGCAAGCGUUAUCCGGAAUUACUGGGUUUAAAGGGUGCGUAGGCGGCCCUGUAAGUCAGGAGUGAAAGUUUGCGGCUUAACCGUAAAAUUGCUUUUGAUACUGCAGGGCUAGAAUCAGGAUGAGGUCAGCGGAAUGUGGCAUGUAGCGGUGAAAUGCAUAGAUAUGCCAUAGAACACCAAUUGCGAAGGCAGCUGGCUAGACCUGCAUUGACGCUGAGGCACGAAAGCGUGGGGAGCGAACAGGAUUAGAAACCCCCGUAGUCC